AGAAGCUGCGCCUACCCCCCCCCUCACGGUUCAGCUACACCUCCGUCCCUCCUCCUCUACCUCCUCAAUUUUUUGGCGGAUAUUCGACCGAUCGGAAAACGGAAGGUACCGUUGGGUUCUUAGCUCCGCCACCAACAUUUCAAUCGAAGCUGAUUUGUCAUAGAAGCGGCGUAGCUACCAUUCCUGGGGGUUCGGGUGAGCGCUGUAGGCAUCUUUUCAGGGUCCUUAUUGGCGUAGUUCAAGAAAUCAGGGAAUCGUAACAGGCUAGGAGAUAAAGCUCUGAGAUAAAGGGGAGCUAGUACCUUGAUAGAUAGGGUAAGCAUUUUGUGUUGGGGAAUGUGUUUGUGUAAUUCUCAGGGUUAUGUUAUGAAUUUUUGGAGAUGUUUAUGGAUGUUUAGUACUUUGGUUAUUUGUAUUCCGAAUGAUAUGUAAAUAUGGACUUCUGUUGUUAGGUAUGUUUUUAUAUGAUGGACUGAUUACCCAAUAUCCUACUUGGGGUGGGUCUUGAUGAUAUAUGGUAUCAGGGUUUUGAUA